GACGAACGCUGGCGGCGUGCUUAACACAUGCAAGUCGAACGGUGAAGCGCCUUCCUUUUUGGUGGGUGUGGAUGAGUGGCGAACGGGUGAGUAACACGUGAGUAACCUGCCCCCUUCUUCUGGAUAACCGCAUGAAAGUGUGGCUAAUACGGGAUAUUCUGGGUCUGUCGCAUGAUGGGUCUGGGAAAGAUAUUGUUUCGGUGGGGGAUGGGCUCGCGGCCUAUCAGCUUGUUGGUGGGGUGAUGGCCUACCAAGGCGGUGACGGGUAGCCGGCCUGAGAGGGUGGACGGGCACACUGGGACGGAGACACGGCCCAGACUCCUACGGGAGGCAGCAGUGGGGAAUAUUGCACAAUGGGCGCAAGCCUGAUGCAGCGACGCCGCGGGAGGGAUGGAGGCCUUCGGGUUGUGAACCUCUUUCGCCAGUGAAGCAGGCCUGCCUCGUUUGUGGGUGGGUUGACGGUAGCUGGAUAAGAAGCGCCGGCUAACUACGUG
rnacentral:rRNA from 1 species